rnacentral:lncRNA from 1 species
AAUGGGACAUUUUAGAGACUGAAGAGCAUUAUAAGAGCCGAUGGAGAUCUAUUAGGAUUUUAUAUCUUACUAUGUUUCUCAGCAGUGUAGCAUCAUUACUCCAUUAACAAUGGAUAUGUAUGCCUGGACUCAAGAACAAGCUGUGUUAUAUAAUGGCAUAAUACUUGCUGCUCUUGGGGUUGAAGCCGUUGUUAUUUUCUUAGGAGUUAAGUUGCUUUCC